UACGAAGGGGGCUAGCGUUGUUCGGAAUCACUGGGCGUAAAGGGCGCGUAGGCGGCUUUAUAAGUCGGGGGUGAAAGCCUGAGGCUCAACCACAGAAUUGCCUUCGAUACUGUAGAGCUUGAGACCGGAAGAGGUAAGUGGAACUGCGAGUGUAGAGGUGAAAUUCGUAGAUAUUCGCAAGAACACCAGUGGCGAAGGCGGCUUACUGGUCCGGUUCUGACGCUGAGGCGCGAAAGCGUGGGGAGCAAACAGG
rnacentral:rRNA from 1 species